rnacentral:lncRNA from 1 species
GUACCAAAAAAAAAUUUCUUUUAAGAGGAAAAAACUGGGCACAGGUUCUUAGCCAUAUGUCUUUUCUCAAGGCAGAAAGAAGCUGACCUCUCCACACUUGGGGACCCAGCGUACACAGACCUUUGAGCCCUCCCCUAGAGACCAGUGAACCAUUAACUCCUCUCCCCUGUGAACCUUCCCACACUGGCCCCGCCUCAAGCAGGAGGUCUGGGAGGGGAGCCUGUUCACUCAGCCCUCUGAUGUGGCCUCCAUUGCACCUGGAAGCUUAGCUUGGUUCCCCCUCCCUGACUCAGGAACUUUUUAAUGUCCACAGCAAGGCCUGCUGGGGACCUGAGGUUACAACUCUCAAGUUGCCAGUAAGGGCAAGAUCUGGGAAAUGAGGGGGGAUAGAGACGGUGGGGCAAGGUUGAGGGGUGGAGUCUAGGGGACCAGGGAUGGAUGGUCAGCUUGAUUAGGCUGUGGGUCAAGAAGGUGCUCAAGGACUGGUGAACAAGAGGCAGCAAUGGGCUGGAGGCAGGAGGCCCAAGCCGGGGCUGCUGCUGGACUCAGGAGGGAACAGGUGUAAGGAGUGAAGGUCCCAUGAUCCUGGGCUGGAGAGCAGAACAGCAGCCCUGAUCCACAACUCCUUGUUCUUCCAGGGCCCAGUCCUCAAGAUGUUCCUGGAGGAAUAAAAGCCAGAACCAAAGCCUCUAACCUAUUGUCCCCAGUGAUGGGGGCCCCGGUGUGGCAUCUGCUGGCUGCCCUCCUGGGGCUGGGCCGAGUUCAGGGGAUUCGCCUGGGACACCAUGGGCCUCCAACUGGUCAUGUUACACCCCUAUCUGGAGACAACCUCACACACAGGUACUAAGCCCUGCCCUCCCUGCAAAUGCCACGUCCCCCCAGCUCUGCUCAGUACUUAGAUCAGAUGCUUCCCGCUGGCUUUUUUUUUGGUACUGGGAUCUUUCACUUGCAAAGCAGGCAGCGG